UAUAUAUAUAUAUAUAUAUAUAUAUAUAUAUAUAUCUGUGUGUGUUUAUGUGUGCAGAAGAGGUGAAUUUCAAAAGGAGAGCUCAAUAUCCGAUUAGCAAAAGUUACUUAUCAGUUCAGAUCCAUCAUAGGUUUGGUGGUCAAUGACUGCUUGAGCAUCACCCACAGCAAGUCAGUGAAUGAUUGAAUGGCCUCAGACCCUUGUGGAUGAUAGCCAUGUGUCUCCUCUUGCUAGCUGAGCAUGAGAGAUAGUUGCUGAAUUGACUUAAAAUCAGUUGCUACUUAUACUAAUUCCUAAGCAGUUUGUUACAGACUUUUAGGGAGAAAAGGGUCAUCAUGAGGGGGUCUUCUGACCAAGGUGUUUAUGUCCUGUAGUCAGUGUUGAGUUGCAUAAAAAACUACAAAUAAUAAAGGAGCUACUGUUCCUUUAGCUUGGGAAUCUCAAUUAGUGUUACUUUUACUUAGCCCAGAACUGCUUCCUUUAUAUCUAUACUUUGCCCAGCAUGGCUUUAUGUUAUUUUUAACCACCUGUUACCAGUUACCUAAUCUCGUACUGAUGUCAACUUCCUUAGUCCAGUUUAAGUACCUUUUCUCUGAUGUUAACUCACAUAGGCCAGUUUGAGUACCAUCAUACCUAGUCUAGUCCCAAACUGUUAUUAUUACACUUUUCAACAACAUGUAGCCUAGUGCUCUAUCUAACUUGGGUCAUACUGUACUAUAGCACACUCUAAGCUUAUAUCAUUAUUGUAAUAUCAUCUUAGCAUUGUUACAUCAUUACCCUAUCUUGAUCCUACUAUUUCUACAUCGAGGCCACUGUACCCAUACUAUUUUUUUCUAUUGCCACUACUAACUUAUUCUUGCUUAUAACACUGUUUCUACUACAUAUACCUCAAGUAAAUCUGGCCUAGGUGACCUCGUCUGUUCUUCAAUUUAAGAGACGAGACACGGGAAAAAGACAAUCAUUUUGACCCUUUCUUCCUAUGGAGCUGUAUGUAUGUGUUAAGUUUAAUUUUCCCUCAUUGUGACAUGAUUUAUUAUCUAUUGAUAUGUUGAUGAAGUGUUCAACCAUUUUUGUUCUUGUCAUUUUAAGUUCAUAUCAUUACCUCACUGAUUAAGAGCCUGUAUUGUAUUGAAAGUGUAAAAGAUAAACUUGUAUAUUUUAAAUGUUUUGUUAACAGUAUCUUAAGAAGACUACUUGUUGAGACUAUUUUUUUAAUGUUUAUCUUAAAAAGGUUCAUACAAGAAGAGAUUCAGUCACGAGCAACAUUCCUGUUGCCUCUUCUGCUGCUCCGCGAACCCCGAGAUACAGAUUAGUGAACCCAAAGCAAUAGAUACCGGUGCAUUAUUCUGUCCAUAAAUGCUUCGGACUCACUAGUUUAUAAUCUCGGGGUUCGUGAAGCGGCAGAAGAGGUGACAGGACUAAAAGUACAUCUUAGUCCUCUCUUUUAUUUAUACAUAUAUAUUGGAUUUACUUUACAAAAUCAUUCCUGAUGCUUAUACAUAUAGAUAAUUAUUGAAGAUGUGAUAGUAUUAAUUGUCAAUGUGUAUAAUUAAAUAUUAUAACUCAUUAGAGAAUGACUGGAGCACCAGACAACCUCACAAUACCCCUGUCAACCUAAGGUGUCCUAUAAGAGAUAAAGUACCAUAUAUGUUACCAAACUCCUUUUGUGAACUGGAAUACCAAUGUUAUUGUGGGUUGUGUUAAAUUACCAAUAACAUGACCUACUAUACCAAGACUUAAGAGGGUGGGAUAAAUUUUGGUCCCCCCCUUCUUAACCCCCGAGUUUUCCAUUUCAGGAUAACAGCUGUGUUUGUCUAUGUACUUCAGUGUUACAUUUAUUUUAUGUAAAGCAGAAAUAGAUACAGUAUUCUCAUAAAAAAACUAAAGAAAACAUUAA